ensembl:lncRNA
CUUGCACUGGGUUGGAUGCAGGGAGGAGUUCAGCCAUGUGUAAAAGACGGUUUGAUUUGGCAUGCUUGCACUGUAUUCUGUCUGGUGUGCAAGGCAGUGACUCUUGUACGUGCCAGUUCAGCUUUCUGACGGGAAAUGCCUGAAGAGCUGCCCCGGUGCAAUUGCUCUCAAGCUGUGCGCUAUUUGGCAGUGCAGAAGAAGGGCGUCAUUUCAGCUGUGCUUUCCUCGCAGCUGUGCUGAAGCUGGGAUUGAUGUUGCAAUGUCUUGCAGGUGGGAGACCUGGUGUGCAUUAUUGCUAUGCCAGCAAAGGAGCUGAGCCCCUGGUGGAGAGGCAAGCGUGGCUUCCAGGUAGGCACAAGCUUCAGACUUGCGGGCGCAACGGCAGUCAAGUCAGGAAGGUCAGCUUCGAGCUGCUCGGCCUGCACAUGGUUGGCUUCUGGACGUAAACAGUUUCCCUGUGUCGGUGUCAGCGGCCUUUCCCUUUGGCUCUGGGCUUGGGUAGGAAACCGUCUCCUCAUGUGACUUAGAAGCAAGAGCCUCUCCUGCUCACUGCACAGUCAGGAGUUGACCAUGUCUGUCCUUUGUACAAGCACGGAGGACAGAGCCAUCUUCUGCGGAACCAAGUCUUGGUUUUGCAGGUCUUUUGGCUGCAAAUGUGGAAUGAGGGUUCCUUUUCUGCAGGCCAUUCUUUCUUGGUUUAACGGUGGAGGCCUGAGAAGUGCUGCAUUCAGUCUUCCAUCUCUCUUCUUGUUCUUGUUCCAGGUGGGAUUUUUCCCUGGUGAGUGCGUGGAGCUCAUCAACGGGAAAAUUCCUGAGGCCCUCAUCGAUUCAGCACCAAAGCCAGGUACGGAUGUUACAUGUGAUGGCGCGGGGAAUCAAAGGGAGUCGUGUUCUGGGUGUGUUCCGUGUUGAAUAGCUCCUUUAUCCAUCCCACGUUAUCCUCUGUGUUGAUGAUCCUUCAUGCAUCCCACGGGGCAUACGGCUGCUGUUUUGUAGGCAGUGAGAAUGAGGGCUUGGGCAAAUGAUAGGAUCCUCGUAGAAUGGCUUGGGAUGGAAGGGACCUCAAGGAUCAUCAAGCUCCAAGCCCCGUGCCUCAGGCUGGGCUGCCAACCUCCACUUUGAAUGCCAGACUAGACCAGGCUGCCCAGGGCCCCAUCCAACGUGGCCUUGGAGUCCUCCAGGGACGGGGAAAAUCCGCUGUUGUAUGUACUUGUUGGCAAUGUUCUUCCCGAUUUUACGUGCUCUGUAGAAUGUGUGACACUCAGCCUGGUCCCGCUGAGCCCAACGUGAAAUGAACUGGUUUCUUCCUUGUGUUGUGCAGUGCCAAAGAAGCGCGGCAAGCUCAUCAGCUUCCUUCGUUCCUUCGCGAAGGCCUGCCCAAAGGAACCGAAGCAGCGGGAGAUGGCGAAGGAGAAGGAAGGGGUGUUUGGCUGUGACCUGGGAGAGCAUCUUCUCCACUCUGGCCGUGACGGUAAGAAACAGCCCGUUCCUGAGAGCUUCCUCUGUUGGGCAUGUAAAGAUGAAAGGGAGAUCAUCUCUGGCAAGGGGCAGGUUGAUAGCGGUGGAGAAAGAUGGCAGUUGAUGGCUGAAAUGUAAGCUGAGGCUAAUGCCCAUAGGAGAGCAGCCCACUUGUAUUUGCUUAAAGCAAAAGGUGUAAGCCAAUGCCACGCUAGCCUGAAAACAAAGGCAGCCUUUUGGCCCAAGAGAGUGUACUGCAUCAGUUUCUAGCUCUUCUGGACAUGACGUUUCACGCCUCCAUUGCGGUGGGAGCUGUGACGGGACUUGCAGUGUCUCUGGCUUCCCCAGAAUUACUUUCUGCAGGCUGGUUGGCAGGUCCUGGCAUUUCUGGAAAGCCAAGAACACAUCUGUGUUCAGUUUCCUCCCCGGCUCCUGCCUGUCAGAGACGUCUGUGCCGGCUUUCUUUCUCCUCUAAGGAGGAGGCAUGCAGUAGCGCGGCUGGGCUUAGUGGAUGGGAUGUGACAGGAGCAGCAGCUGAAGCAGGACUUGAAUCAGGAGCUCAGCUAACCGCUGGCACUUGUUCCAUAGUCCCCCAGGUCCUCCAGAGCUGCGCUGAGUUCAUUGAGCAGCACGGCGUGGUGCAGGGGAUCUACCGCCUGUCUGGCGUGGCGUCCAAGAUCCAGAAGCUACGGUAAGAGUGCUGCGACUGACACAGCUGUCAGUAGGGGCACGUGCCAUGCUGCGGGCGUUCCGAGGCCUGCGCUGUGGGGCAGCUGUGUGCAGGCAGCGUGCGCUCAGCGGUGGUGCGCCAGGCUUGUGUCUGUUUGAUAGGAACACGGGGCGUUGAGUAGACUUGCUGGGGCAGGAAGUUCUCCUUCAGUCCUUGAGAGCAUUGGAAGGCUGUGGGGGACUGCGGUGUCAGCUCUCAUUCCCGUUUCCUCUUGUUGGCAGAGCCCUUUGGAGCAGCCCGCACUCGUCCUUGCUGCUCUGGGCUCCUGGCAUGUGACUGUGGAGUAGGCAGCCAGUUGUCAGAGCGUUUCUUUUCUCCUGUGAAUCAGGAACCCCUUCCUUUUCUUGACUCUGUCGUGUAUUGCUUUGGACUUGUCUUCCUCUUUCUCAAAGCCCAAUGUUUUUGUGUCCUCCUCUCCAGCCAUGAAUUUGAGUCUGAGCAGAUUCCGGAGCUAAGCGUCCGUGACGUUCACAGCGUGAGCUCCCUGUGCAAGAUGUACUUCAGGGAGCUCCCGACCCCUCUGCUGACCGAGCAGCUGUAUGGCAAGUUCUCGGUAAGCACAAGGCAAUGGUUUUCAUGUCCCUCUUCCCUGGGCCUCUUG